UACGUAGGGUGCGAGCGUUAAUCGGAAUUACUGGGCGUAAAGCGUGCGCAGGCGGUUUGGUAAGACAGAUGUGAAAUCCCCGGGCUUAACCUGAGAAUUGCAUUUGUGACUGCCCGGCUAGAGUGUGUCAGAGGGGGGUGGAAUUCCACGUGUAGCAGUGAAAUGCGUAGAUAUGUGGAGGAAUACCGAUGGCGAAGGCAGCCCCCUGGGAUAACACUGACGCUCAUGCACGAAAGCGUGGGGAGCAAACAGG
rnacentral:rRNA from 1 species